rnacentral:rRNA from 1 species
GACGAACGCUGGCGGCGUGCUUAACACAUGCAAGUCGAACGGUGAAGCGCCUUCCUUUUUGGUGGGUGUGGAUGAGUGGCGAACGGGUGAGUAACACGUGAGUAACCUGCCCCCUUCUUCUGGAUAACCGCAUGAAAGUGUGGCUAAUACGGGAUAUUCUGUGCCUGCUGCAUGGUGGGUGUGGGAAAGAUUGCGCUUUUGGGUGUUUUUGGUGGGGGAUGGGCUCGCGGCCUAUCAGCUUGUUGGUGGGGUGAUGGCCUACCAAGGCGGUGACGGGUAGCCGGCCUGAGAGGGUGGACGGUCACACUGGGACUGAGACACGGCCCAGACUCCUACGGGAGGCAGCAGUGGGGAAUAUUGCACAAUGGGCGCAAGCCUGAUGCAGCGACGCCGCGUGAGGGAUGGAGGCCUUCGGGUUGUGAACCUCUUUCGCCAGUGAAGCAGGCCUGCCCCUUUUGUGGGUGGGUUGACGGUAGUUGGAUAAGAAGCGCCGGCUAACUACGUGCCAGCAGCCGCGGUAAUACGUAGGGCGCGAGCGUUGUCCGGAAUUAUUGGGCGUAAAGAGCUCGUAGGCGGCUGGUCGCGUCUGUCGUGAAAUCCUCUGGCUUAACUGGGGGCUUGCGGUGGGUACGGGCCGGCUUGAGUGCGGUAGGGGAGGCUGGAACUCCUGUGUAGCGGUGGAAUGCGCAGAUAUCAGGAAGAACACCGGUGGCGAAGGCGGGUCUCUGGGCCGUUACUGACGCUGAGGAGCGAAAGCGUGGGGAGCGAACAGGAUUAGAUACCCUGGUAGUCCACGCCGUAAACGUUGGGCACUAGGUGUGGGGGGCCUUUUCCGGGUUUUCCGCGCCGUAGCUAACGCAUUAAGUGCCCCGCCUGGGGAGUACGGCCGCAAGGCUAAAACUCAAAGGAAUUGACGGGGGCCCGCACAAGCGGCGGAGCAUGCGGAUUAAUUCGAUGCAACGCGAAGAACCUUACCAAGGCUUGACAUGUGCCGGUCGGCUCCGGAGACGGGGUUUCCUCCUUGUGGGGCCGGUUCACAGGUGGUGCAUGGUUGUCGUCAGCUCGUGUCGUGAGAUGUUGGGUUAAGUCCCGCAACGAGCGCAACCCUUGUCUCGUGUUGCCAGCACGUUGUGGUGGGGACUCGCGGGAGACUGCCGGGGUCAACUCGGAGGAAGGUGGGGAUGACGUCAAAUCAUCAUGCCCCUUAUGUCUUGGGCUUCACGCAUGCUACAAUGGCCGGUACAGAGGGCUGCGAUACCGUGAGGUGGAGCGAAUCCCUUAAAGCCGGUCUCAGUUCGGAUCGGUGUCUGCAACUCGACACCGUGAAGUUGGAGUCGCUAGUAAUCGCAGAUCAGCAACGCUGCGGUGAAUACGUUCUCGGGCCUUGUACACACCGCCCGUCACGUCAUGAAAGUCGGCAACACCCGAAGCCCGUGGCCUUAUGGGGAGCGGUCGAAGGUGGGGCUGGUGAUUGGGACG